rnacentral:ncRNA from 1 species
UAAUUUGACUCAACACGGGAAACCUCACCAGGCCCGGACACCGGAAAGAUUGACAGAUUGAGAGCUCUUUCUUGAUUCGGUGGGUGGUGGUGCAUGGCCGUUCUUAGUUGGUGGAGCGAUCUGUCUGGUUAAUUCCGAUAACGAACGAGACUCUGUCCUGCUAACUAGCGGGUAAACCCGGGUCGGCGUGUGCGCGGCGCUGG